rnacentral:rRNA from 1 species
CCUACGGGUGGCAGCAGUGGGGAAUAUUGGACAAUGGGGGGAACCCUGAUCCAGCCAUGCCGCGUGUGUGAAGAAGGCCCUCGGGUUGUAAAGCACUUUCAGUGAGGAAGAACGCCUGGUGGUUAAUACCCAUCAGGAAAGACAUCACUCACAGAAGAAGCACCGGCUAACUCCGUGCCAGCAGCCGCGGUAAUACGGAGGGUGCGAGCGUUAAUCGGAAUUACUGGGCGUAAAGCGCGCGUAGGUGGCUUGAUAAGCCGGUUGGGAAAGCCCCGGGCUCAACCUGGGAACGGCAUCCGGAACUGUCAAGCUAGAGUGCAGGAGAGGAAGGUAGAAUUCCCGGUGUGGCGGUGAAAUGCGUAGAGAUCGGGAGGAAUACCAGUGGCGAAGGCGGCCUUCUGGACUGACACUGACACUGAGGUGCGAAAGCGUGGGUAGCAAACAGGAUUAGAUACCCUGGUAGUC